rnacentral:rRNA from 1 species
AACGAACGCUGGCGGCAUGCCUAACACAUGCAUGUCGAACGAAGGCUUCGGCCUUAGUGGCGCACGGGUGCGUAACGCGUGGGAAUCUGCCCUUUGGUUCGGAAUAACAGCCGGAAACGGCUGCUAAUACCGGAUGAUGACGAAAGUCCAAAGAUUUAUCGCCAGAGGAUGAGCCCGCGUUGGAUUAGGUAGUUGGUGGGGUAAAGGCCUACCAAGCCGACGAUCCAUAGCUGGUCUGAGAGGAUGAUCAGCCACACUGGGACUGAGACACGGCCCAGACUCCUACGGGAGGCAGCAGUGGGGAAUAUUGGACAAUGGGCGCAAGCCUGAUCCAGCAAUGCCGCGUGAGUGAAGAAGGCCCUAGGGUUGUAAAGCUCUUUUACCCGGGAAGAUAAUGACUGUACCGGGAGAAUAAGCCCCGGCUAACUCCGUG